rnacentral:rRNA from 1 species
GAUGAACGCUGGCGGCGUGCUUAACCCAUGCAAGUCGAACGAUGAAGCCCAGCUUGCUGGGUGGAUUAGUGGCGAACGGGUGAGUAACACGUGAGUAACCUGCCCUUAACUCUGGGAUAAGCCUGGGAAACUGGGUCUAAUACCGGAUAGGAGCGCCUACCGCAUGGUGGGUGUUGGAAAGAUUUAUCGGUUUUGGAUGGACUCGCGGCCUAUCAGCUUGUUGGUGAGGUAAUGGCUCACCAAGGCGACGACGGGUAGCCGGCCUGAGAGGGUGACCGGCCACACUGGGACUGAGACACGGCCCAGACUCCUACGGGAGGCAGCAGUGGGGAAUAUUGCACAAUGGGCGAAAGCCUGAUGCAGCGACGCCGCGUGAGGGAUGACGGCCUUCGGGUUGUAAACCUCUUUCAGUAGGGAAGAAGCGAAAGUGACGGUACCUGCAGAAGAAGCACCGGCUAACUACGUG